rnacentral:rRNA from 1 species
AGCGAACGCUGGCGGUAGGCCUAACACAUGCAAGUCGAACGACCGCACAGUGGGUGCUUGCUGACACGGGAGUAGCGUGUCGGACGGGUGCUGUAUGCUCCGAAAAAUACUUUUUCGUUUGGGCUAAUAUCGGAUGAGUUCUGCUGAUAACAGAUACAUCCUCCUGAUGAAAGCACGCGUUCUUCGAACCAUGUGCGUUUGAUUGUGCCGCUGUCGGACUAGCUAGAUGACGGGGUAAAGGCCGACCAAGACGACGAUCCGUAGCUGGUCUGAGAGGAUGAUCAGCCACACGGGAACAGAGACACGGUCCAGACUCCUACGGGAGGCAGCAGUGGGGAAUAUUGGACAAUGGGCGCAAGCCUGAUCCAGCCAUACCGCGUGGGUGAAGAAGGCCUUCGGGUUGUAAAGCCCUGUUGUUGGGAAAGAAAAGCAGCAGGUUAAUACCCCGCUGUUCUGACGGUACCCAAAGAAUAAGCACCGGCUAACUUCGUG